GGCGUUGUGGUUAGCCCGUGGCGCCUGUGCACUGCAAGUCGCGGGUUCGAUUCCCGCCAGCGCCU
rnacentral:tRNA from 1 species